rnacentral:rRNA from 1 species
GACGAACGCUGGCGGCGUGCUUAACACAUGCAAGUCGAACGGAAAGGCCCCCUUGUGGGGUACUCGAGUGGCGAACGGGUGAGUAACACGUGAGUAACCUACCCUUGACUUUGGGAUAACUUCAGGAAACUGGGGCUAAUACCGGAUAGGAGCUCCUGCUGCAUGGUGGGGGUUGGAAAGUUUCGGCGGUUGGGGAUGGACUCGCGGCUUAUCAGCUUGUUGGUGGGGUAGUGGCUCACCAAGGCUUUGACGGGUAGCCGGCCUGAGAGGGUGACCGGCCACAUUGGGACUGAGGUACGGCCCAGACUCCUACGGGAGGCAGCAGUGGGGAAUAUUGCACAAUGGGCGGAAGCCUGAUGCAGCAACGCCGCGUGCGGGAUGACGGCCUUCGGGUUGUAAACCGCUUUCGCCUGUGACGAAGCGUGAGUGACGGUAAUGGGUAAAGAAGCACCGGCUAACUACGUG